UGGGAACUACCUAGUAGUACGGAAUAACACAGAGAAAUUUGUGCUAAUACCGUAUACGCCCUUUUGGGGAAAGAUUUAUCGCUAUUAGAUGGGCCCGCGUUGGAUUAGCUAGUUGGUGGGGUAAUGGCCUACCAAGGCGACGAUCUAUAGCUGGUCUGAGAGGAUGAUCAGCCACACUGGAACUGAGACACGGUCCAGACUCCUACGGGAGGCAGCAGUGGGGAAUAUUGGACAAUGGGGGCAACCCUGAUCCAGCCAUGCCGCGUGAGUGAUGAAGGCCCUAGGGUUGUAAAGCUCUUUCAACGGUGAAGAUAAUGACGGUAACCGUAGAAGAAGCCCCGGCUAACUUCGUGCCAGCAGCCGCGGUAAUACGAAGGGGGCUAGCGUUGUUCGGAAUUACUGGGCGUAAAGCGUACGUAGGCGGACUGAUCAGUCAGGGGUGAAAUCCCGGGGCUCAACCCCGAACUGCCUUUGAUACUGUCAGUCUUAGUUCGAGAGAGGUGAGUGGAAUUCCGAGUGUAGAGGUGAAAUUCGUAGAUAUUCGGAGGAACACCAGUGGCGAAGGGGCUCACUGGCUCGAUACUGACGCUGAGGUGCGAAAGUGUGGGGAGCAAACAGGAUUAGAUACCCUGGUAGUCCACACCGUAAACGAUGAAUGCCAGACGUCGGGGGGCAUGCCCUUCGGUGUCACACCUAACGGAUUAAGCAUUCCGCCUGG
rnacentral:rRNA from 1 species